GAUGAACGCUGGCGGCGUGCCUAAUACAUGCAAGUCGAGCGAACGGACGAGAAGCUUGCUUCUCUGAUGUUAGCGGCGGACGGGUGAGUAACACGUGGAUAACCUACCUAUAAGACUGGGAUAACUUCGGGAAACCGGAGCUAAUACCGGAUAAUAUUUUGAACCGCAUGGUUCAAAAGUGAAAGACGGUCUUGCUGUCACUUAUAGAUGGAUCCGCGCUGCAUUAGCUAGUUGGUAAGGUAACGGCUUACCAAGGCAACGAUGCGUAGCCGACCUGAGAGGGUGAUCGGCCACACUGGAACUGAGACACGGUCAAGACUCCUACGGGAGGCAGCAGUGGGGAAUAUUGGGCAAUGGGCGCAAGCCUGACGGAGCCAUGCCGCGUGAGUGAAGAAGGCCUUCGGAUUGUAAAACUCUGUUGUUAGGGAAGAAAAGAAGCAUAAGAAUCCGUGGACGUUUUGACGGUACCUAAACAAUAAGCACCGGCUAACUUCGUG
rnacentral:rRNA from 1 species